ensembl:lncRNA
CAGCAGUAGGUCUCUAGUUCAUCUGUUUACGUAAGUGUUUACCUCUAGUCUAAAGGUGCUCACUUGGGAAUUUACAAAUACAGUACUUAAUUAUAAUUAUCAUUCAUUUUAAGUAUUAAUGUCAAUAAUAUUAUUUAUAUUUAAUUGUAUAUUAGUAUUAUUAUUUUAUCAUUCAAUACAUCUGUCUUGUGUUCAGCGAAUGUGCUAAAAUGGGUCCGUCUGGAAAGUGAUCCUAACUGGGCCUUAUUUCAGGGGUAGGACUUAUUACGAGGGGCCUGAAAAAUCAUGCUAGAGUUUAUUUUCCAGUUAGGUCUUAUUUUCAGAGAACAUGUAUGAGAACCCACCACCGGAGCUGCCAGAUAAAGGGGACAGAAAGCAGUCCUCUUGUCCAGAGUGGGUCAGAGGAGGCAGAGAGGACCAGGCAUGUGGGGUGGCUGCUCCCCAGCCCCUGCUCCCCAGGGGGACCUUGCUCAGAUGGGCAAAGGUCAAGCAUUCUGUCCCGGGCUCAGAAGGACCCGGGUGCUGGUUCUGUGAGGGACCAGCAGACACCAUAGUCUCAUCCUGGCACAAGGGUGGCUGGGGCGCUAGGCAGUGAGCCCCACUCUGGGAUGCCAAGAGGGGGUUUCUUUAUUCAUCCUAUUUUCCAGGUCUGCAGGGCUCAGGUCAGUUUCCACUCAUGUUAACAAUGCACACACAGCUAUUAGAUACGGAAACACCCUAGAAACCCUGCACAUCCCUGAACCUCCUCCAUGUCAGCCUGGGCCAGCAAGUGCCCCGGGGCUGGCGGACCCCUGUCAUGUCCCAGAAGCCCCUCUAAUCUCUAGCAGUGGCUGCUUCCUUUCUGACUGCAGCCCCUGAUGGACCAGCAGGGUUCUCAGCUGCACAGCUCUGGCCACUCUGGUGGCCUGGGGACGGGCCGCACGGCUCAGGGCUGCAUGCAGUGCAGAGUCUUGGCCCUGGCAAGGGCUCAGGCCCCUGGCAGCCCUUGGGGUGUGAGGUGCGGUCCUGCAGUGCCCCCAGGUGCUGCCAGGCAGUGUGCAGGGCCAGGGAGUCCAGCCCAAAGUCCAGCGCCCAGGAGCCCGGGGCAGGCUCCAUCCCUCGAGGGGCAGCAGGAGCCCGUGGUGUCUGGCUGGCCCCUCAGCAGCUGCGUUGACAGCAGACCAGCAGGCCACGCUGUGGCCAUGUCCCCUCCAUCUAAGGUCCACUCAUUCUUCCCAGGUCUCAGCUGCCAUCAGGGCCUCGCCUGGACCUUCCGAGGGACAGCCCAGGGUCCAAGGGCUCCUGAAGCACCCUGACCUCUCACAGGCCCUGGUUGACUGGUCUGGCUUCCCUGCCUAGGCCUGAGGCCCCUGGGGCUGCAGGAGGCUGGGCUGGCUGAGUACUCCAGGUGAGAGCCCUGCUGCCUGGACAGCCCUGCAGAGACCUCACCAAAAAGGUAUCAGGUGCCAGGGCCCAGCGGAAGGGAGGCUUUUCACAGGCACAGCCCGCUGUCCUUGGUCCCAGGGGCCAGGCUGGAGCCUGGAAGGAGCAGGGGGCUGCCUGCUCCGCCCGGCUGAGGCUGCCAGCCACUCUCAUCCCUAGCAGGCAUCUCUCCCUCCCUCCACUCUUCCUGGAGGGCAGCCGCUCUUGUACAGUCCACUCUGAUCCGCACGCCCACGGGGACCUCCCAUGGGCGCUGCCCCUGAGAGGCAGGGUAUCCUCCACGCUCACAAGCAAGCACCCAGGGCCAGGGCCUGUGCUUUCUGGCUGCUCUACAAGGCUGUGAGAGGGGCUGAGGUGGGAUCCAGAGACUCCUCACAGGGGCCUCCAGGGACCCCUGGCUGAGUGGGCUGUGCCAGGGGGGAACUGGCAGAAGGAGCGGGCAUGGACCAGGGCACAGGAGCUGGGAGCGGCGCUGUCAGGCCCCAGUGGUAAAGGACUUGUCUCUCCUCUUCCUUCUAGGGCUUAAUGAGAAAGGAGAGAGCAACCAGGCAUGAGUCUGUCCAUGACAAAGGCCACCCAUCAGCUCCCUGUGGCCAGGCCCAGGCAAGGCUGCCCAGGAAGCUCCCAGGAUGCCAGAGCACAGCAUGCUGCAGGCCCGGGGGAGAAGGGAUGCUGUCGGCUGGGCCAACCAGUCAAGUCCUCAGAGCCAGCAUCUGGGCCUCUGGGCAGCUGGGGUCGGGGUCACACAGCUCUCUGCAGCCUCCUGGGUGUGGACCAGGCUGGAACUCCACAGCAGUCCCCACAGGGUGGUCUAGUUCCACGCACAGCUCUCUUCCAGCUCCCAAAGGGCCCAAGAGGGAAUGUUCUGGGACAACUGGGCGCCAGGAGGGAGCUGCUGGGGCAGGCCUUUGGGAUGUGGAGGAGGUGGUAGAGCCAGGCCUUCCUCACAACCAAUACGUCCACUGCUCACCACGCGGAGGCUGCAGGAGGCCACUCCUCCUCACCCUAACCCAGGCCUGGCUGCUUUGAACAGCAGCCCGGGUGGCUCUCAUGCCAAGCGUCCACUCCUCAGGACACCAAGUAGACAGGGACAAGGGAUCCAGAGCAUGGAGCUGCAGCCCAUGAGUGUGCGGGAAAGGAUGGGUCCCGGCAGUGGUCACCAAGUAGGGGACAUGGGUGCCCGCCCACGGGGCUGCACUCUCCCCAGGCCCCAUUCACCACUCGGGAGGGGGCCUCAUGGUGGGCAGGGAGACCCUGGACAAGGAGCCCCUGAGCGGGGUAACCCAGGGAUGGACUUAGAGAGGGACCCAGAGUGGUGAGGCCCAGGGCGGAGGUCCGAGGGGUGGACUCCGCCCCGCGGGCUCCUGACCGCGGCCCCCAUGGUUGGUGAGGCCGGAGCCAGGCGGCUGUCCUGAGUGGACGCAAAGUCCGGAGCGUUCAAGUCCCGGGAGUGGGAGUAGGUGGAAAGAUGUGCGUAAGACAGGGUCGGGGAUUUAACUCAGUGGUGGUUCCGCUGCCUCCUGCCUCGCAAGCGCAAGAACCCGAGUUCGAUCCCUGGUACCAAAAAAAAAAAGGACAAGCGUAAGAAAAGAGGAGUCCAGGUCGCGGAAAGCUG